UACGUAGGCAGCGAGCGUUUGUUCGGAGUUACUGGGCGUAAAGAGUGCGUAGGCGGUUUUCUAAGUUGGUGUGAAAUCUCCCGGCUCAACUGGGAGGGUGCGCCGAAGACUGGAAGGCUUGAGUAUGGGAGAGGUAAGCGGAAUUCCUGGUGUAGCGGUGAAAUGCGUAGAUAUCAGGAGGAACACCUGCGGUGUAGACGGCUUACUGGACCAUAACUGACGCUGAGGCACGAAAGCGUGGGUAGCAACAGG
rnacentral:rRNA from 1 species